rnacentral:lncRNA from 1 species
GCAGGAUCUGAGCCAUGUCUGCAACCUACAGCUCACGGCGAUGCCGGAUCCUUAACCCACUGAGCAAGGGCAGGGAUCGAACCCGAAACCUCAUAGUUCCUAGUCGGAUUUGUUAACCACUGAGCCACGACGGGAACUCCUCCAACAAUACUUUUUAAUACUUUUCAGGAUUUCUAAAAAGACCAUUUUUCUCUGUUUUUAUAAUCAGUGAAAUUUUUAUUAAAAAUGAAAGCAUGGGAGUUCCCGUCGUGGCGCAGUGGUUGACGAAUCUGACUAGGAACCAUGAGGUUGCGGGUUCGGUCCCUGCCCUUGCUCAGUGGGUUAAUGAUCCGGUGUUGCCGUGAGCUGUGGUGUAGGUUGCAGACGCGGCUCGGAUCCUGCGUUGCUGUGGCUCUGGUGUAGGCCGGUGGCUACAGCUCCGAUUCCACCCCUAGCCUGGGAACCUCCAUAUGCUGCGGGAGUGGCCCAAGAAAUAGCAACAACAACAACAACAAAAAGACAAAAGACAAAAAAAAAAAAAAAAAAAAAAGAAAGAAAGCAUGGCCUAAUUUUUUUUUUUUUCACUUCACCAAGAGAGAAAUUAGGCCAGAAUUAAUUGAGGGACUUAAAGAAACGCUUUGGAGAAAAGCUUUGCCUGCAAGAUUAAUUAGAUGCUGGUAAGGAUUAGUAAGACAAAUUCAAGUUGGUUUGAUGGAAAGAGUGGUUGAUUUGGAAUGAGAAAACUCGGAAAUGCAGCUCCAUUUUCUGGGUGACCUUGAGCAAGCUCUUGCUCAAAUUCAGCUUUCUAUUUUGGAAAAUGCAGCUGGCUGCUUAAGGAAGAUAACAUCCACCAGGCGCCUGGCCCAGAAAAAGAGCUCUGUAAGUGGUACUAAACGCAAUGAUUUUCUGGAAUCUCAGGGAGGCUUUGCCAACACAACAUCCUCUGGCAGAAGUGUCAGCCCCUCAUCUUCCGUUGAAAAGGGUCUAAGUGUCAAUGGGUCUGCUCAUCUAGGGUAAGUAAGGGUCCAGUGAAGAGCUAUAAACAUCGGGGAGCGAACAGUCUGAAAGACAGCAUGACAUGCUUGAGUGUGGCUUUUGGAACCAGAGUGGGUUCAAAUCUUACUGUCACUUGGUAUUGGUGUGGCCUUAGACAAAUUACUUCAUCUCCCUGAGUCUCAGCUUUUUUUUUUUUUUUGUGCAAAAUGGGGAUAAUACAUCAUGGGAUUAUUGGGAAGAUUCAUUGAGUUAAUUUAUGUAAAGUGAUUAGAAGAGUCCCUGGCAUACAAUAAAGACUGUACAAGGACUUGCUGUUACGAAGUU